GGCUCGAUAGCUCAGUUGGUAGAGCAACGGACUGAAAAUCCGUGUGUCGGCGGUUCGAUUCCGUCUCGAGCCA
rnacentral:tRNA from 3 species